rnacentral:tRNA from 1 species
AGGACUGUAUUUUAUUUUAAAAUAUUCUAUUUGCAUUAGAAAGAAGAGUUGUUCUA